rnacentral:rRNA from 1 species
GGAACUUCCGCAAUGGACGAAAGUCUGACGGAGCACGCCGCGUGAGUGAUGAAGGUUUUCGGAUCGUAAAACUCUGUUGUUAGGGAAGAACAAGUACCGUUCGAAUAGGGCGGUACCUUGACGGUACCUAACCAGAAAGCCACGGCUAACUACGUGCCAGCAGCCGCGGUAAUACGUAGGUGGCAAGCGUUGUCCGGAAUUAUUGGGCGUAAAGCGCGCGCAGGCGGUCUUUUAAGUCUGAUGUGAAAGCCCCCGGCUCAACCGGGGAGGGUCAUUGGAAACUGGGAGACUUGAGUGCAGAAGAGGAGAGUGGAAUUCCACGUGUAGCGGUGAAAUGCGUAGAGAUGUGGAGGAACACCAGUGGCGAAGGCGACUCUCUGGUCUGUAACUGACGCUGANGCGCGAAAGCGUGGGGAGCGAACAGGAUUAGAUACCCUGGUAGUCCACGCCGUAAACGAUGAGUGCUAAGUGUUA